rnacentral:lncRNA from 1 species
GGGGCGGAGCCAAGGAAAUGAGGGGGCGGUGCCCCUGAGAGGCUGGGAGGAGUCCCACGGUGUGGGCAGACGGAGACACCCAGGAGAAAGAAGAGGGCGAAUUGGAAGAGGCCACCCAGAAAGGACGGUGUGUGACACUAGGGAGCCAAGCAUGGAGAGCCGAGGACUAACGCUUGGAAGGAAACGUGGACCAGAAGGUUCCGGAUGAGGGAAGGACAGGGGGCUACACUCUGCCUUCCGAGACAACGAGGAAUAAUCUCACUUCCAGUCAGUUCAACCCUUGUAAAACAGCUACUGUAUGCAAGACACGGAGGGAAAGCUGAAGUAGAGAAACCACAGACGCUGUCUUCAAAGGGUUUAAUCUAAUAUUAGUGAUGAGAAAAAUAGGGUGCAGAGCUUAAGGCAUCCUGGAAAAACGCAUGUAGCGCCACAUCGCGAAAAUCUCUCUUCUGGGACCCCUCUCCCAAAACCGUUUCUUCGCCCUCUUCUCCCCCUUCUGCUUCCACUCUUUCUGGACUUCAAUAUCUUUGAGAAGCCUGGACAUCAAUUUGCUUUAGAAGACUAGAAACUCUGCCUUUAUGUCUUUAAGGGAACAAUAGUCCUUAACUUUGAUACUGUGGCUCUUUAGCCCUUUUUUUCCCUAUAUUUUUUAUAUAG